UACGUAGGGUGCGAGCGUUGUCCGGAAUUAUUGGGCGUAAAGAGCUCGUAGGCGGUCUGUCGCGUCUGCUGUGAAAACCCGAGGCUCAACCUCGGCCUGCAGUGGGUACGGGCAGACUAGAGUGCGGUAGGGGAGACUGGAAUUCCUGGUGUAGCGGUGAAAUGCGCAGAUAUCAGGGAGGGAACACCGGUGGGCGAAAGGCGG
rnacentral:rRNA from 1 species